rnacentral:rRNA from 1 species
AGCAGUCGCCGCGGGAAUACGAAGGGGGCUAGCGUUGCUCGGAAUGACUGGGCGUAAAGGGCGCGUAGGCGGUUUCGACAGUCAGAUGUGAAAUUCCUGGGCUUAACCUGGGGGCUGCAUUUGAGACGUCAAGACUAGAGUGUGAGAGAGGGUUGUGGAAUUCCCAGUGUAGAGGUGAAAUUCGUAGAUAUUGGGAAGAACACCGGUGGCGAAGGCGGCAACCUGGCUCAUUACUGACGCUGAGGCGCGAAAGCGUGGGGAGCAAACAGGAUUAGAUACCCCGGUAGUCCCUGUCUCUUAUAC